UGUAGGUGGGAGCGCGGGUCCCUCAGGUGGUCUGGGGGAAUAUGUUCUGAAAAUUCUUGAAAUCGAUACCGUUGCUACUCUACUCUGAGGACAGCAAGGGAUUAACACGUCAAAUUCUUGUUGGGAAUGUGUACAACCUCUCGAGAGUGUCAAACUAAGUACUUAGCCGUGCCCCGGUUACGGACAAUCAUGAGCAACUAGAUUUGGGUUGUAAGGAAGGUCUCACUCAUUCCAACUUCUUAAUAAAAUGAAUGGUUUGAGCAUUGAUGUGUCUACUCAAUGUGCCUAGGUUAAUAGGAGCAUCGGUGUUUCUACCCGGUGUCCAUUAGUUAACAAUAAUGUAACAUUCAGUUGUAGUAAGAUAAACUAUGUUUUGCUACCACGCCAUAAAGCCUGAACCCCACUAUACCUCAAUUGCAUAUACUUGGUAGGAUCUGUUAUAAUUUCCAGGUGAACUUGUCAAUACAUUCAAUGUAUUGACCACGUUGUGGCUGCAAUUAAUAAUGCAGAUGAAUCUGACGAAGAGUGAGUGUAACAUCCCAAUAGGUUUUAUGUAUAAAAGGGGUUUAGUGCAUAUAUAAGCUAUCCCAUAAUUUUUGGAUAAUUAUUUGGAGUUGAAAAAAUAUUUUAUUUAAAUAGAUAUAUGAUUUGUAAAAUUUUCUGGGAUUUAUUUGGACCAAUUUGGAGUUCAAAAUCAAAAGAUAUCAAAGGAUAAGAAAAACAGAAAAAGAAAAGGGUAAAAGAAAAAAAAAGAGCAGCAAACGGACCGGCCCGGCCGAAUUGGGCCGAACCGGCCCAACUCCCUCACGCGCGCCGCGGCCCAGCCGCUCACCCGCGCCGCGCCCGCACCCGCUGACAGGUGGGGCCCACCUGUCAGGGGCUUCUUCCCCAGAAGGAAAGCCCCCGCGCCCACCGCGCCGCCUGCCUUUUCUGCCGCCGCGCGCUCACCGCCGCAAUCUCCUCCUCCGCCCUUCCUUUUGCACGCCCGAGCGCGUCCUUUUAAGCCCCGCGACCCCCUCUCUUCUUCCCCUCUGCUCCCUCUCGC
rnacentral:lncRNA from 1 species